rnacentral:rRNA from 1 species
UUAAAUUGAAGAGUUUGAUCAUGGCUCAGAUUGAACGCUGGCGGCAGGCCUAACACAUGCAAGUCGAACGGUAACAGGAAGCAGCUUGCUGCUUUGCUGACGAGUGGCGGACGGGUGAGUAAUGUCUGGGAAACUGCCUGAUGGAGGGGGAUAACUACUGGAAACGGUAGCUAAUACCGCAUAACGUCGCAAGACCAAAGAGGGGGACCUUCGGGCCUCUUGCCAUCGGAUGUGCCCAGAUGGGAUUAGCUAGUAGGUGGGGUAACGGCUCACCUAGGCGACGAUCCCUAGCUGGUCUGAGAGGAUGACCAGCCACACUGGAACUGAGACACGGUCCAGACUCCUACGGGAGGCAGCAGUGGGGAAUAUUGCACAAUGGGCGCAAGCCUGAUGCAGCCAUGCCGCGUGUAUGAAGAAGGCCUUCGGGUUGUAAAGUACUUUCAGCGGGGAGGAAGGCGAUAAGGUUAAUAACCUUGUCGAUUGACGUUACCCGCAGAAGAAGCACCGGCUAACUCCGUGCCAGCAGCCGCGGUAAUACGGAGGGUGCAAGCGUUAAUCGGAAUUACUGGGCGUAAAGCGCACGCAGGCGGUCUGUCAAGUCGGAUGUGAAAUCCCCGGGCUCAACCUGGGAACUGCAUUCGAAACUGGCAGGCUAGAGUCUUGUAGAGGGGGGUAGAAUUCCAGGUGUAGCGGUGAAAUGCGUAGAGAUCUGGAGGAAUACCUGUGGCGAAGGCGGCCCCCUGGACAAAGACUGACGCUCAGGUGCGAAAGCGUGGGGAGCAAACAGGAUUAGAUACCCUGGUAGUCCACGCCGUAAACGAUGUCGACUUGGAGGUUGUGCCCUUGAGGCGUGGCUUCCGGAGCUAACGCGUUAAGUCGACCGCCUGGGGAGUACGGCCGCAAGGUUAAAACUCAAAUGAAUUGACGGGGGCCCGCACAAGCGGUGGAGCAUGUGGUUUAAUUCGAUGCAACGCGAAGAACCUUACCUACUCUUGACAUCCAGAGAACUUAGCAGAGAUGCUUUGGUGCCUUCGGGAACUCUGAGACAGGUGCUGCAUGGCUGUCGUCAGCUCGUGUUGUGAAAUGUUGGGUUAAGUCCCGCAACGAGCGCAACCCUUAUCCUUUGUUGCCAGCGGUCCGGCCGGGAACUCAAAGGAGACUGCCAGUGAUAAACUGGAGGAAGGUGGGGAUGACGUCAAGUCAUCAUGGCCCUUACGAGUAGGGCUACACACGUGCUACAAUGGCGCAUACAAAGAGAAGCGACCUCGCGAGAGCAAGCGGACCUCAUAAAGUGCGUCGUAGUCCGGAUUGGAGUCUGCAACUCGACUCCAUGAAGUCGGAAUCGCUAGUAAUCGUGGAUCAGAAUGCCACGGUGAAUACGUUCCCGGGCCUUGUACACACCGCCCGUCACACCAUGGGAGUGGGUUGCAAAAGAAGUAGGUAGCUUAACCUUCGGGAGGGCGCUUACCACUUUGUGAUUCAUGACUGGGGUGAAGUCGUAACAAGGUAACCGUAGGGGAACCUGCGGUUGGAUCACCUCCUUACCUUAAAGAA